rnacentral:rRNA from 1 species
GCAACCGCGGUAAUUCCAGCUCCAAUAGCGUAUAUUAAAGUUGUUGCAGUUAAAAAGCUCGUAGUUGAAUUUCGGGGUCAGUAGGUCGGUCGUGCCACUGGUAUGAACUGGUUUUACUGAUUCCUCCCUCUUGAAGAACUGUAAUGCCAUUAAUUUGUUGUUGCAGGGAAUCAGGACUGUUACUUUGAAAAAUUAGAGUGUUUAAAGCAGGCUUUAGCUUGAAUACAUUAGCAUGGAAUAAUGAAAUAGGACGUUUGAUCCUAUUUUGUUGGUUUCUAGGAUUGACGUAAUGAUUAAUAGGGAUAGUUGGGGGCAUUAGUAUUCAAUUGUCAGAGGUGAAAUUCUUGGAUUUAUUGAAGACUAACUACUGCGAAAGCAUUUGCCAAGGAUGUUUUCAUUAAUCAAGAACGAAAGUUAGGGGAUCGAAGACGAUCAGAUACCGUCGUAGUCUUAACCAUAAACUAUGCCGACUAGGGAUCGGAUGAUGUAAUUUUUUAAUGACUCAUUCGGCGCCUUACG